UAUCUCAAUCUCAAGGGUCUUUUCUCUUGGGGGAAAAAGUCGCCGACUGUUAGGAUAAUGUGAAGAAAACUCUUACUUGACUUGGAUACAAGUCAUGUCUGUUUAGAAGGAUACCUUUGUUACCAUGGAGGAAGCCCAUGCUCUGUCAAAGUGAGUGAAUUUCAAUGUAUGAGUAAAUUACAAAAACGUGAUCAUUUCGGUAUAUAAAAAAAAUUAACAAAUUUCUCUUUCUUCGUCGACCUCAUGUGCAACGCUCGAUAUGUUUGUAGUCUCAUUCUGACUGCUAGCUUUCUUACAGUAAGCUUAUAAAAAUACAAUUCGUUGCGGGUUUCCAACUUGCUGACUGACAUUCUAUCGGCAAAAGUGAAAUAAAGGGAGACUUAAACACAGUACUACAUGGUCUAUAGCUGUUGUGACGCUUUCCCUGCGCGCGGGGUUCCUGUGACCCCUGACUCUGCCUGGGGCGCCCCGCAGGGGGCUGAAAGGGGAGUUGAACUAAGUUGAUGUGAAAAGUUCGGAAUAUUUGUGAAAUUGUUGAAUUCUUUUGUUGUUUGAAUGUUGUAAUCCCCCGGAUUGGCAAACUGAACUGAGUAUUAGCCGUGAAUUCCAAAAGAAUAAAUCUUGUGUUAUGAGAAGUGGUUUUGCGGAUUAUAUCAGUCACGGAGCCGGGGAGUUCGGAUACAGCAACAUUCAUUCAGUUCAGGUCCUGACUAUGGAGAAAAGGCUGGAAGUCGAACUCAAUUAGGAUGAGCGAAAAACACAGAAGUGCAGGCGAGCAUGAAAGGCUGGAGGAUUCGCUUGGACUUGAACACAAAAAGAACUCCCUAGCAGGGUACUUGGGGGCGGUGAGUAAGGAAAGUACGAAAAUUAAGACCCUUGUUGAAAAUUCUGUCGAAAUAACUGAGCUAGAAACUGCCUUGAAAAACUUUCAAGCCACAUGGAGUAAAUAUGUAACAUGUAGAAUAUAUAGACGAAGCCGAGUGUGAAAGGGUAGAUAAGAAAUACACUGAAACCCAAGAGGAAUAUUGUGAGCUUUCAAAAUAAAUUAUUUGAAAAGAUUCAAGUUUUGCGUGAAGCAAUGUCUGGGCAAAAGGAAAAUCCAUGAUGCAAAUGGAGUAUGAGAGAAGAAAGAUGGAAUUGGAAUUUGAGAGAAGAAGGAGGGAAUGUGAAUUAAAGUUAAAGAUGGAAAUGGCUGAAAGGCUGGCUGAGUACAAUGGGAAGUACUCAGUAGUUCCUAGUGUUGACAACUUGGAAGUCAAGGGAGGUGUCCAUCUUCUUUCACCCCUCAGCGAUAAAGAGAAAGUUGACAAGUGGUGUCCAUCUUCUUUCACCCCUCAGCUAUAAAGAGAAAGUUGACAAGUGGUGUCCAUCUUCUUUCCCCCCUCAGCUAUAAAGAGAAAGUUGACAAGGGGUGUCCAUCUUCUUUCACCCCUCAGCUAUAAAGAGAAAGUUGACAAGUGGUGUCCAUCUUCUUUCCCCCCUCAGCUAUAAAGAGAAAGUUGACAAGGGGUGUCCAUCUUCUUUCCCCCCUCAGCUAUAAAGAGAAAGUUGACAAGUGGUGUCCAUCUUCUUUCCCCCCUCAGCUAUAAAGAGAAAGUUGACAAGUGGUGUCCAUCUUCUUUCCCCCCUCAGCUAUAAAGAGAAAGUUGACAAGGGGUGUCCAUCUUCUUUCACCCCUCAGCUAUAAAGAGAAAGUUGACAAGUGGUGUCCAUCUUCUUUCCCCCCUCAGCUAUAAAGAGAAAGUUGACAAGUGGUGUCCAUCUUCUUUCCCCCCUCAGCUAUAAAGAGAAAGUUGACAAGGGGUGUCCAUCUUCUUUCCCCCCUCAGCUAUAAAGAGAAAGUUGACAAGGGGUGUCCAUCUUCUUUCACCCCUCAGCUAUAAAGAGAAAGUUGACAAGGGGUGUCCAUCUUCUUUCACCCCUCAGCUAUAAAGAGAAAGUUGACAAGUGGUGUCCAUCUUCUUUCACCCCUCAGCUAUAAAGAGAAAGUUGACAAGUGGUGUCCAUCUUCUUUCCCCCCUCAGCUAUAAAGAAAAAGUUGACAAGUGGUGUCCAUCUUCUUUCACCCCUCAGCUAUAAAGAGAAAGUUGACAAGUGGUGUCCAUCUUCUUUCCCCCCUCAGCUAUAAAGAAAAAGUUGACAAGUGGUGUCCAUCUUCUUUCACCCCUCAGCUAUAAAGAGAAAGUUGACAAGUGGUGUCCAUCUUCUUUCACCCCUCAGCUAUAAAGAGAAAGUUGACAAGUGGUGUUCAUCUUCUUUCACCCCUCAGCUAUAAAGAGAAAGUUGACAAGUGGUGUGCAUCUACUAGUGAUGUGAGUGUUGCGAAGAGUGAACACCCCUUUCAUGAUGCUUUAUCAACUAGUGAUGUGAGUGUUGCGAAGAGUGAACACCCCUUUUAUGAUGCUUUACUUCCCGAAGAAGAAAAACUAACAGUCAAAGUUAGCCAAAAUAAAGAGGAUAACUAUAGAGGACGGAGUUUUAAGUUACGCUCAAAGGGUGGAAUUUCCUCCAAAGAUAAUGACUGGGCUGGCGUACGAAGUAGUAAAAAGGUUAACGGGAUGCUCUUAUGAAGCUGUGAUGAAUGCACUUGAGGAAAGAUAUGGAAAACCUACUACGGUUACUGCGGCAUGUUUUAACAAUUUGACUAAGGGGCCUAGACUGGGAAAUAAUGUCGGAUUGUGUAACUUUGGGGAACAACUAGAAGGUGCUGCCAAGACCCUGGGGGGCAGUAUCGCAGUACACCAAACACCCUUAGACAGAUUGUUGGAAGACUCCUGGGAUACCUGAUAAAUAAAUGGGGGGGGCACCUCGUAUUCAAUUCGGGAGCGAGGGGGAACACCAGAUCUGUCUGACUUCGCAAGGUUUUUUUAAGCUCCAGGCGGCUAUUAGAAAUGACCCUGGAUUUGUAAAUAUCUACCCCCAGAGAAAUUUGGAUAAUGCCACGCCCAACAGAAGAAAGGUACCCCAGGACAAUGAAAGGUCCUCUUCUAAGUUCCAGAACGAGAGACUAUCUUUCACCUUUAUGACUGACCCCAAAUUUAGUGCAAAUACCGCUGACCAGUGUUUAUGUUGAGCAUGUGAGAAGUUUGCAAGUUUGAAGACACAGGGGAGGUGGGACUUAGUAAAGGAACAUAAGUUGUGUCAUGCGUGCCUCACCCCAGGUCACCGCAGGUGGAAGUGUUCGUCUGAAGAAUUUUGUGGCUGUCGCGCAGAGAAGCGACAUCACAAACUCUUGCAUAACGAGUCAAGAAGGAAGGAACGUGAAGGGGCUUCCUUAAGGAGAAAGAAGGAAACUGGCCGGAGGAGAAGUAUGAGGAAGUAGCAGAAGGUGUCAUAAAGACAAAGAAGGAAGUAUAUGCAACGAGCAUAGAGCAGAGGUCGUCCCUGGCGGAAAUGAUUGGGUGAUAUUCUGACUGGAUGAAACUAUUGAGAGCCUGGGCCUGGUUGUUGAAGUUCACCCAGUGGAUUGUACGUAGGACGAGUAAGAAGGACCCAGACCCUGCAGUGAUUCAGAAGCAUAUCACUCCCGAAGAUAUAGAAACGGCGAAGCGGGAAGUCGAGGUGCAACAGUAGGUAUAUCCAGGGGAGCUGAAGAGCGUGAAGGCUGAAGGUAAAGUGCAGGAAAGUAGCCCGUUGGCAUGUCUAAAGCCGAUAAUGAGAGAAGAUGGAGUCUUAAGAGUUGGCGGAAGGAUUUCGAGAACGCCUAUCUCCCUAUACGCAAUGAAUCCAAUGAUCCUACCUAAGGAUCAUCACGUGACCAGGAUACUCAUACGUUACAUUCAUGAGAGGAAUGGACAUUGUGGGCAGGAACAGGUGCUUGCAACCUUGCGAGAGCAAUUCUGGGUAGUACACGCACGUGUGGCUUUUAAGCAAGUCCUGACGAGGUGCAUUGUGUGCCGGAAACAGAGAGCACCAAAGCCCAACAGAUGGCUGAACUGCCAGUCUAGACUCUUGCCUUACGAGCCCCCGUUCACCUUUACUGGAGUGGACUUCUUUGGUCCCUUUUAUGUGAAGCGCGGAAGAGGAAGGGUAUCCACGAAGCGCUAUGGAUGCAUAUUUGUGUGCAUGAACUCUAGAGCUGUUCAUUUAGAGAUCGCCAGGUCCCUGGAGACCGACGACGUCCUCAUGGUCCUGACCCGCUUUCUAAAUCGAAGAGGCCACGUGAGGGAAAUUUGGUCUGAUAACGGUACAAACUUUGUAGGGGCGGACCGAGAGCUUCGCGAGAUUUGGAAAGGAAUGAAUCCUGGCAGAAUUAGCAGCAAGCUACUAGACGUAGGGUUCGCGUGGAAUUUCCAGACCCCGGCGGCCUCGCACAUGUCAGGCGUCUGGGAACGUUUGGUGCGCACUGUAAAGAGAAAUCUAAAGAGCGUGAAGGGUCAAGACCUUAUGGAUGAGUAGGUGCUUUACUGACGCUGAACGUAUGACAAAUUCCAGGCCCCUAACGCGAAACCCUGCAGGUCCCGACGAUGAGGAAGCGCUUACACCGAGUCAUUUUCUCGAUAUCCGGCCGUCGACGAAUAUUCCCGUAGAAGAACCAGACGAGAAGGAUAAGUACCGAAAGAAGCGUUGGCGCCAAGCACAACUACUCUAUUGGAGAAGAUGGCUAAAGGAGUAUAUCCCGAGCCUCCAGGAGAGACGUAAGUGGCACCUUCCGACGCGGAAUCUUCAUGCUGGUGACCUAGUUCUUGUCGCAGAUGAUAAUGUACGGAGAAACAAAUGGCCUCUAAGCCUGGUCAUGAACACCUUUCCAGGAAGGGACGGAAGAGUGAGGAACGUUGAAGUUCGAGUGGAUGGUCGCGUGCUGAGAAGGCCUGUUACCAAGAUAUGUCUGCUCGGGGCGAUAAACGAUGAGGGAUGAGAUGAUCAAGAAAACAUGAUGAUGUAAUGAACGCGCCUUCCGGAUCGUUCAUGGGGGGCGGGAUGUUGUGACGCUUUCCCUGCGCGCGGGGUUCCUGUGGCCCCUGACUCUGCCUGGGGCGCCCCACAUGGGGCUGAAAGGGGAGUUGAACUAAGCUGAUGUGAAAAUUUCGGAAUAUUUGUGAAAUUGUUAAAUUCUUUUGUUGUUUGAAAGCUGUAAUUCCCCGGGUUGGCACCCUGAACGUAUGUACCCGUUUAAUUGAGUUGUAUACCCAUUUUGCAGUGAAUAUUAGCCGUGAAUUCGAAAAGAAUAAACCUUGUGUUAUGAGAA